GAUACGGCUUCAGUCAGUCGUCCUGGUCCGUCAACGCAAGGAGAUUCUGCACUUCUGUCGCACCGUUCAUCCAGGCCAUUUAUUGAUAUCAAGGUAAGAUACCUUUUUGGUUUUGUGUUUCGCUUACAGCUCUAACUGGCAAUGAUAAAUGUGGUUCAUAAAAGCAUGCGCAGCUCGGGAGUGUUGUUCUGUUCUGCAGUUGAAUCCAUCCACGUUACAUCGGCUUUUGCAUUUGAAAGAAGCCGGUGUCACAAACGGGCAGACAACUAGUUUCCACGUGCAGCAGGUUUAUUUGCAGACAUGAUGACAAGUAGUGGUGGGUCGCGUCACCGAUCAUCCAGCCAGUGUGUUUGUCGGCGUUUCACCGAGACGUCAAAACUAGGAAGCGCAUCCUAGUAACAGAGUUGCCAGAUUCGGCGGGUUUCCGUCCAAUUUAGUGGUUUUGAUUUGGAUCUUGCGGGGAUAACUUGUUUUGGUCAGAUGUAAUUUGGCCAGGUUUUGUGUGAAAUGUUUUUAGUUCGUUUUAUUAUGAGUCUGAAUGAUCUUAUGUUGAAAAAUGACCGGAAUUUCUCGGUAAAAAUGAAUGAAUACUAAUCAGUCCAGCGGCGAGUUUAGAUCCAUAAAAUUAAAAAACUUUUUUGUUUUUGCUUUUUAGUGUAUUAUAAUGUUGAUUCCUCACAAAAAGACACCCAAGCGGUAUUUUGAUCCAUUCAAGCAUUUGAGUAUUCCUCUAAAAUCGAGCGGGUUCUCAUGAGCUGACGUGACGGACACAUUGAGAACGGUCCCGUUCAUGAGAGUCUGCGCUGCCGGCCCCGCCCACAGACACACACCCACUUUCUCCGAUGAGCAAGAAUGUUUGUCAAAAGCGCUUUAUUUUAUAUUCACAAUAUGCACAUCCACCUUUGCAGAAGUUUGAAUGUGUUUUUGUUUUCCUGGGAGAAACGCAGACACGCUGCUGAGGCCGGCUCCAUCUGCCGAGAUUGACGUCACACACACAGAGCGAAAGCCGGCGACUCAGAGGAUGAGUCCUGUUAUUUCCAGUUUGGAAAGAAACUCAGGAUAAUAACCGAUAUUUAAUUAAAAAAAUCCUUUUGUGUGUGUGCCAAAGGUCACCUGCAGCUUCACUCAAGUUGUCGUGACAGACUCGCCGAUAUAGAUUUCAUGUCAGCAGUUGUUGCUGUGGUUGGAGUAAUUGGGGACUCUUCUCUGGACGAUGCAACCAGAAGAGUGAUGGGCUUCCUCAUGUCCAAUGAGUUGGCUCUGCAAUAUAACCUGUUUGGACGUCAUGGAGAGAAUACGUUCUGCUAGUUGUGUCUUUUUGAUGUCUUCUAUGGUAAUUAGAUUUGAAUUUAUUAAUCUAUAUUCAUCAUUGACAAAGGAUUUAGUAAAUUUAAUCCCAGGCUAAAAUGAAUACUUUGUUUUUUGUGAUUUCUUUUUAGGGGCAGUGAAGAAAAAUGCCAUCACCCAACCAGUCCCACUAAAGGAAGUGGAGAAGGGCCUCUCCAAAUGGUUUGUUGGAGCUCGUGACAGGGGAAGAAACUGAGCCUUAAGGACUCAAAGAGAGCUUGAAUAACAAGCCAAUGGAGCUUGUUCUCAGGAACCGUCAAGGAUGCCAUGAGUAUUUUGUUUUACUGGAUUUAUUUAUUUUUUCGUCACAUAAUUGGCACACAUUAAGGUUGUUGAUAUUGUACUGUACCAAGUGAAGUUGUUCUUUAUUUUAUUAAGUAACUGUAGUAUGUUAGAUCCUGUGUGUUAUCUGUUAAACCUUUGGGUGACCUUGCCAUGGUCUUGUAUAUCGUUUUCAUAAUGCAGGAUCAGGAUAAUUUAUUUUCUUUUAUUAAAUUGAAGCAUUUUAAAAAGCA